GGGCAGGUGGUGGAAUUGGCAGACACGUCAGACUUAGGAUCUGAUGCCUCACGGCUUGCGGGUUCAAGUCCCGCCCCGCCCACCA
rnacentral:tRNA from 1 species